AAGAAGGUGCAUUUAAAAGCUUGACCCUUUCCUCUUCCUUGGGUAUGGAUCUUGGAACCCACCUCCGUCGGUUCCUACAAAGAUUCAAUAUCUUAUGCGAAGGGUUUGGUCAGUAUGCCCUUAUAGUUGAUUUGAUUUUGAGACUGAUUUAAAUAAGAAUUUGAGUUAUUAUAUCAAUAUUUGAUUUAAUUGUAAUAGUCUAAGACAGGCUCUUUCCUAGAGCACAGCGAAAACACACUGGGAUGGGGAUGGGGAUGGGGAUGGCGGCUCAAGGCUGGUAUAAAUUUAUUUCUACUUUUCUAAUUGGUGGCGGCGCCUCCGUAUAUAGAGAUAUCUGCUUGUUUGAUGACCACCAAUUAGUGAUGUCAUGGAACAUAGAGUGACUUAAUUACUCUCAUUUUCUACCUCCUUUGCUUCGAGGCAAAGAUUAGGGGAGGAGGGAGGAUAUGUAAUUUUAUGUCAUGGAACAUAGAAUAAUAUCUGUACUACAUUAAAAAUAAAGCUCUUUUAGAAUGUAGUUAAAGUUAACUAACAUGCUGGGUGAUAUUACUAAGGAAGAUAAA
rnacentral:lncRNA from 1 species